UCGUCCUCUUCCUGCCAUCCCAGGAGGCAGAAGAUUCUAACUCCGGGCUGCAGAGCGGUCAGGGAGGGACCAGGGGAGGGGGGGUGAGCUGUUGGGUUCCACAGGAGCUGGAUCAGGAUCUCUUGGGCUUCAUCUUUAAGUGACUUCUGGCCCUCCAGGGGCCCCUUUCCUGCUCUCCCUCCUCCCCCACGGAAGAGGCUCCAGGGAGCCUUUCACCCCUUAGCCUUCUUUUAACUUCCAGAAAUCCCCCACGUUAGGGAGAGUCUUGCAAGUCAGGGGGCUGGCAAGGUGAGAGUCUAUGUCAGUCCUAAAGGCCCUCACUUUUCCGCAGAGCCCUAACUUUUACUUACAAAGUGGCUGGGAUGGGAAUGGGGACUCAUCAGGCCAGCCUAGCCCUGGGGGGGGGAGGAAGCAGGAGUGGCGGUGGGGGGGGGGGAGCGAAGUGGGCAGGGGACAGCCCUGGGGAGCAGGCAGAGCGCUGAGUCUUCCUCUGAAAAGGCUUCAGUGAGCCGUGGAAUGCCUUCCCAAUGAGAUGGAAUCAUUAAUUCUUCCCCAAUGAGGCAGACGCUGGGGCCUAGGGUGACGCCACAGAUGCCCGCUGUGUCUGCAAUUAUCACAGGCCCUGGGGGUGUGGGGAGUCUGCUCGGCACAAACAGCUCUAGCUAGGGCGUCUCCACAGGGGUCUCUGGGUCUGGACUUCUCGGUUGGGGUCUCUGGGUCUGAGGGCUCCAGCAAGCUCUGUAGCUGGGGCGGAAAAGAAGCCAGUGUGCCGGGUUGAGGAUGUUUGCAGAGGUGAGGCAGGCAGGCUUGCGGAAAACCCAACUCCCUCCCGGUCUUCCGUGACUCCAUACCGGGACAUGCAGUCAACUGGGCCAGGUGGCGGAGGCCACCCGGAACCAGAAAAAGGCUGUGGGGGAGAGGAGCCACCCGCGGGUAGGGCCUCUGCGAAGGAAAAUCCGGACUGGAUUCGAGUCUCCGAAUGGAAUGGAAUGAGUUCUGCUGGGAUGAGCAGAAAACUGAGUUUAUGACUCAGAUGGCUGAAUCUUCUAGCCGCUCCCUUAUCCAUCCGCCGGGCUGAGAGGGUAGACUUAGGCACAAUGUGCCUUUGGAGAAUGAGGGACUGUUUGCAGGGGGGGGGGGGGGGGGCGUGUGCCCGCACUCAAGCGCUUGUGCCAAUGCUCUCCUGGGCCAAAUCUCCAUUUUACCCGGUUUCGCUGGAGCUCGGAAAUAUUCUUCCCACCCUCUCUGUGGCGAGGCAUGUAUUAUCUCAGGGGAGAGGAAGUAGCUAGAACUUGUGACAGCUGGAAGAGACCCUAGAGAUUCUCUGGUUCCACCCUCUCUUCCCAUACCAAGGACACUGAAGACCAGAGUGGGCAACUAACUUGCCUAACGUCACACAGCAGCAGGGAAGGCAGGCAACCUGAUACUGGUCCAAUGCUUGCUGUUUACACAGCCCGUCACCUCUCUGCCCUGGGGGAUUAAAGAGUGACUACCCUGUCCUCUUCUCCUCCCCAGCAGGUCUGGACCCCUCUCCAUCAUGGACCCCUGUACUUUGCCAACCACAACAGCCACAGGAGGUUAAACUGGAUCUAUCAAGCUCCUCAGGAUGGCCCAAAGGUCAUCUCAAAGGUCAUGCCAACCAGUCCCCUGCCCCUAGGUACGACAUCAGCCCACUCAUGCUCACACACACCUAUCACUGAGGUCAAAGAUGCAAAACACCACCGGAGCUCCCCACCUUACAGUACCGCCCCCCCUUCACACUCUGGGAGGUUUUCUUUCCUAACCUCUAUUCCUCCUACUACAGCGUGGGCCUGUUUCCUUUCAAGCUGUCCUGGGCAAAGACUGGGGGAAGGGUAGAAGUAUAUUUUUCUCGCCCUCAAACCCUUCUGUUUGCCCACCUGCGGCAGAGAGGAUGAGGCCAGGGUAUGCCAGGGUGGCUGGGCCCUGAGCCCAGGGCAUGCGUGAGGCAGGAGGGGUGCGUUGGUGGAAAAGGAGCCCGAGUGUGGGAGAAACAGCUCUUCUGGGAACUGUCCCUCCAACUCCUCAUCCCCUACAAAAGCCUGAGUCUCAAGGUUAGGGGAGGGUCUUUGCCGGUUUCAGAAACAUCUGUUCUCUCCCCCCACGCCAUUUACUGAGUGUUUAAUACGUAUCGGGCUAUGUGUUGGACAUUUUCAUCUACGAUUUCACUUAAUCUUCCCAGCAAUCCCAUGGUCAGAAACUAAUCUGCCCCUGGGACGGCCUCUCGCUAAGACUAAAUCUAACCUUGAUCCCUCUUGCUCCAUUUCCUCUGGCUCAGUCCUCCUUGGCGGUGGAGCGCAUCUUUGCUCUGUCUUCAGAUGUCCUCCCCCUUACUCGGUCACCCGACAUUACCUUCUCCAGGCUGCCAAUUUUUACCCCAGUCUUGCCCCAGGUGAUGGGCAUUUUAGGGGGCAGAGCAACAGAAGCAGGACUGGAGGCUGGGACCCAUGACACUGGCCCACACCAGACACAGGGCACAGGCCAAGUGGCAGGGGAGGCGGCCCUAAGGGGCAGUCCUCAAGAGAGCUGCUGGGUUGAUGGAGGUGGGGACAGAACCCGGAGCAGCAGAUUCUCUCUCCCUGAUGACAUCUGUGACCCUCAUAGGGAGCACGGGGCUUCACCUUUGGUGUGGUAACUAGACAGGGCCCAGAUAUGCAAUGAACGAGUGCUCCCUCAGUGACCAGCUCUCAGGUCCAAGUUCCAACCCACACAUACCCAGAGCCCAGGGGCCUGAGCAGAAGUGGGCAGGAGUACAAGACGGAAUGACCAGCCCUGGGCUGUGGAUGGUAGCCGAAGCGAGAGAAGGAAUUCGUACACCUAGCUAAGUGCCUUAGCAUCUAGCAUCUUAGCCCUGAGAAUGGAGAAGGGAGGCCCCCAAGCCAGCUUCAGUGGGGUUUCACACACCCCACGGUAGCCACAGGCAACUGUGAUAAAGUCACACAGCCCUUGGCUUCCCUGUUUGGGCCUUUGGUAGCAGGAGUGAUGAGGGUAGGGAUCCCCUCCAUUAGGGCUACCCCCCAUCCUACCUUGGGCAUGUCUGGAGCUGCGGGCCCAGACCCACCUCCCCGGGGAACGCUCAGGCCUCAGCUUCCGUCCCCUGGGAGAUUCUAGCAGGGAAAACAUGGACCAAUGGGCAAGGGAAGUGGGAAUGGUGGGUGGGACUCUGGUCCUUGUGGGUGGCACCUUCCCCCUUCAAGCAGGCACCAUUAAUAUAUGCAAAGCAUAUGCAAAUCACCCAGAAGAGAGACACAACAUCCACGGAAUGUCAGAAGAGACCUUGGAGAUGAUCCAGCCCACGCCCCCUCAUUUCACAGAGCUGGGAAUGAAAGAAGGGGAAGCGAGUGCAGCCCUCAAACCCGCUGACGGCCAGAUUUUUAUUAUCUUUGCUCGAAUGGGCCCUAGGAAGCCAACAAGGGAUUCUUCAAAGAGCAUCUGAGUGGCUCAUUGAAGCCUGCACCUGCACCAGCCCACCCACGGCAGGCCGCCGGGGCUUGGGGGGCACAAGCUGUCCCCCACCUCCCACCAAGUCCAGAGACCAGACUCGAGGCUGCCAGAAGCCUCACCCUCAGCUCUCUGUGCCUAGGCAGGGGCCACUCGGUCAGGAAGCCAGGCUCAAAGGCCACACCCAGGCCUGCUGGGCCUCUGAGGCAGUCCCUGUCCCUCUCUGUACCUUGAGGACACAAGUAAAAGAAGAAAUUGGAUCUCCUUGCCAGGGCUGGAGGAGAUAAGUGCUUGGGAUUCCUCGAAAGAGAAGCUUUCAUGGCAAGCCCUCGGUCUUUCCCCUGAACUCUCUGCCUGCCCAGCGCCCACAGGCCCCCUGUCAUCUCCUGACUCCCCUUCACAGGAUCCCACCCACCCACAGCUGCCCAUCCAUUCCAGAGCCCCAGGCCCACCAUUCAGGAUGAUCCUGAGCCCCAAACACCCCUCCCGCUGUUCAAAUCCUCAACCCCAGCACCCUUCUUCCCCCAAAGACCUGACCUGGGGUGGGGGUGGGGCUCAAAUAGACCCGCUACUUUAAAGAGCCCAGCCCCCUCCCUCCUAAGCUUAGGUUUUGUCAGAGAGAGCCCAGUUGGCACCGGGCAGACAGCAGCCAUGCCACCCCCCACCCCCAGCUCUGACCACACCAUUGAGAUCAAUGCCCGCAGCCAAAGAAGGAAUCAAUGGUUCUAAUUAAACCCUUUUUCCAGGGUG